rnacentral:rRNA from 1 species
GACGAACGCUGGCGGCGUGCUUAACACAUGCAAGUCGAACGGAAAGGCCCUGCUUUUGUGGGGUGCUCGAGUGGCGAACGGGUGAGUAACACGUGAGUAACCUGCCCUUGACUUUGGGAUAACUUCAGGAAACUGGGGCUAAUACCGGAUAGGAGCUCCUGCUGCAUGGUGGGGGUUGGAAAGUUUCGGCGGUGGGGGAUGGACUCGCGGCUUAUCAGCUUGUUGGUGGGGUAGUGGCUUACCAAGGCUUUGACGGGUAGCCGGCCUGAGAGGGUGACCGGCCACAUUGGGACUGAGAGACGGACCAGACUCCUACGGGAGGCAGCAGGGGGGAAUAUUGCACAAUGGGCGGAAGCCUGAUGCAGCAACGCCGCGUGCGGGAUGACGGCCUUCGGGUUAUAAACCGCUUUCGCCUGUGACGAAGCGUGAGUGACGGUAAUGGGUAAAGAAGCACCGGCUAACUACGUG